ensembl:lncRNA
UUUUUUUUUCCUUUUAUAGUAGCAUAGUAGUAGUAGCUUAAUAAAGUCUUUUUCCCUUGUUAUUAAGCUUGGGCCUGCUUUGCUCUGUUCUUGAUCGCAUUUCACAGCAUUCAAUUGAGAGGUUGCAUUUUCAUGGGGGCGCUGGCAUUGUGCCAGUGUCAAACCAUGACACUUUGAUACAACAAAAUAAUUUCUUACCUUUGGAUAUAUUACAGCAAUAAUUGAGGAACUAAAAAUAUCCAUUCCUUACUAUUUUGUUACAAACACUGCUGAACCAGCACAGUUAUUUAGUGGGAACUAAUGUUACUGACUAUUUCCAGUUCCCUGUGUGGGCAGAGGGGUGGGUCCCACAACAGACAGUCCCUGCAACAGCACCCCAAGGCUCCCUGGCACUUGCAAGUGUGUGAUGUGGCCCUGGGGCAUCAGCUGUGUCACUGAUGGGGAGACUGAGUCAGACAGAAGCCAGGUGUCACUAAAUUUUGUAUCCACCACGUCAAGGGCUGGUGCUGCUGUUCCUGAAACACUGACAAUAAAACAGCCCAAACCCAAGAACCACCAGGCUGUCAGUUCAUUACUGAGCCCGGUGCUGGCAUUGAGGAAGGGCCCUGCUCAUCCUGAUUUGUCCCUGGCUGUGCCAGGAGGUGACAAGACUUAUUCAGACCCAAAGCAGGUAAGUUGUGGAGGAGGAAAAAAAAAGGGACAGGGCAAGACAGAAGCUAACAAGAAAAACUUCAGGCACAUAUUUUUGGGGCAAAAAUGUGUAUUUCUUGCAAGACCGAUCAGGCUGGUGGGAAGGAAUAGGGGCAUGAGGAGCAGCCAUUUCCAGCAAGUUUCAGCAAGAACAAACUUCAGAGGAGCGGAAAGGAGGGUCUUGGAGUGUGAGUGUGCUUUGGGGAGCCUCCAGUACCCUUUCAGGCUGAGACACCCUGAAGGAUGACCCAAGCCACAGCCCAGGGUUGUAGCAGAUGCAGGGGAACAGGAGAACACCAUGCAGCACUGUGAGGGAGGUGACUCUUGGCAUUGUCCCCAGCUGUCACCCCACCUCACCACUUGCCAAAAGUGCCCCCAUUUUCCCUGUCACCCUACUCCCAGGUGGCCCUGGCUCCUGUGGCUGUGCAGGAGGGAGUGGCAUGUGGCACCCUCUGAAUCAAUACUAGCUUGUCAGCUGCUGCUCCCCUGCCCCCAAACACUGGUGGCUUUUACAGCCACUGCCUGGUUGUACUCUGGGGUUCUGGUAGCCGUGGGAUGUGGUGUGCUGGGGCACCUCAGCAAAAAAGGAGCAGCCCCUUGGGACAUCCACAGUGCCCAGGGCAGCCUGGCAUCAGCCACCCCCCGUUGUCCCCUCCCCAUCCCCACCACAUUGGCUCUGCUCUUGUUCCCCCUUUCAUGGCAGUCAUCAGCCAUAAAUGUAUAAAUGUUGCUUUGUAUCCCAAAACAACAACUGCUGAGGGAGGGAAUUAAUACUUAAUUACAUAAAAUUACAAGGAAAUUUAUUUUCAGAGUGAUAGCAGGUGCGGCCUGAUGUGAAUUCCUCCUCACUGGGGUAUUAUUCUCCCUGGAAAAGGGAGCUACUUCAGUGCUGGCUUUAUGCUGGCACCAGGACACAGCUCAGCAGAGUUUUGCUGCAACAAGUUUCUGCAGAAUGAGGACAGGCCUGUGGGUUGCAAACAGCCACUCUGGGUGGUCCCCAUGCCCCCAGUGUCCCCAGCCUUGUGAGAAACCUGCAUAAGAUUGAUGUGCAUGAUGGCUCUGGACCAAAUAACUAAUCUCAUCCCCAGGUAACCCAUACUGGAAUUAUUCUGGAAUUACAAAGAACAGCAGCACCAGCCACACUUGUGGUGGAUGUGAGAUUUAAGGCAGAAGAACUUUGGUAUUUUUAAGGGAGAACGGCUGCUGGCACAAUGUGCUGACCUCCCAGAAAACUAACCAUGUUCUGGGCUUCUUUCUCAGCAGCAUAGGCAGCAGGUGUGUGUGAGGGGGGGAAUUCUUCCUCUCUGCCACACUCAGGUGAGACCCCACCUGCAGAGCUGCCUCCAGCUUUGGAGUCCCCUACACAGGGAGCACAUGGAGCUGCUGGAGUGAGUCCUGCUGGAAGUUAGGAUUUUUCCUUUCCCUCAGGGAAUUCUCUCCCAUAUGUUGCCUAAGAGAUGAUAAUAACCAGGACUUAAGAGUGACUGAAAAAGUGACCAAGGUGGGGGGAAGGGGUGCAGUUGGUUGCAGCCUCUUAACCAGGGGCUUUUCUAUUGGGAAGGGCAGAGAUACCACAACAUUUUUGGCUGGGGAAUAAGGGGCUGGGCUCAGCUCCUCACUUGCUCUCUCGCUCUUGGGAUUGGAAGGGAACAGUUGAGUCACUGCUACCAUGGGAAGAAGUCACUGCCACAGUGGAGUCUAGCCCGGUACUGCUUCUUCCUUACCAUGGGUGAGCCUCUGCUCGUAAGAGCAGAUGGUGAACUGGGACCUUAGGAACUCCCAGUCUGACUGGAAAGAACCUUCACCAUCUACUCUGGUGCCUCAGGGGAAAAACCUGGGGCUCCAAAUCCUUCCCCCUUCCAGGAAGGAGCGUCUCCAUGGCUGCAUGCGGCAACUGCUUGCAGAAACUUGGCUGCCACUGCCGAGCCCCACUGCUUUUUGCUGCUGCCUCCUGCCACUGCCUCGAGCUUUUUCACUGUAGUUCUAACCCUGUGUCCACCCGACCCACGCAGCUCCUGCCAAGGCUGCGGAAUAUUCUCUUACAUUUUAUUUGCCACCCUGGGUCUGCUCGCCUCUGCUGUUCCAGCUGCUCCCGAGGUUCCUGCUGCAGCCGGAGGUGCAGCGGGCCCGGCUGUCCCUGAGGGCUCCAAAGGAACCCCUUCUCCAUCCCUUCCGCCGGCCCGCCGCCAUUGCCGUGCGCAGAGAGGCGGCCGA